rnacentral:lncRNA from 1 species
ACUAUCCCAGGAAAGUGGAUCCUGUGCUUUCUGGGAUGUUCUUUAGGCAGCAUCUUGCUUUCUACCAAUAAUUCAGCUGAGCAUGAAAAAUGUGUUGCACAAAUUCCAAACUUCAUCAGAACAUCCCCACACUUGGCUGGGUGCCCUCCAUAUUGUGGACACAGAUGUCCAGUUGCUGAGACAAAUGAGUCACACUGGAAAUGGGGACAGAGCAAGGACACGUGACAUGUGACUUAACCUGUAAAAUAACACAGCAGCUCCCAUCCCCUGCUCCUCAGAGAGCUCAUGUUGGUCUACAGGAGCAAGGAAUUCCUGAUAUCAUUUAUGGUCACAGGUCAUUUUGCUGAAAAGGAGGAACUUGGGAUCAAGUUCUGUGACUUCAGAGAAGAGUUACGUGUACAAAACUUUGGGAGAGGAUCACCACAGAGAGGUGAUAAGAGCCCACUUGAUCUUUUUCUUCUUCUUCUUAAAAGUGAUAAUAUGAGCAUAAAACUAUUUACAGCUUUAAACAGCUUCAGUACUGAAGCGUGCAUAACACAUUCCUCUCAACUGAACAAUACACAAGCAGGCAUUCUGGAGAUUUUAUUGCAGCAGAUUGGUGUGAUUAUAAGUAAGAAGAUUGGCAUAGUCAGCUCUCUGGAAAAAGACUUAACCCAGGUUAACACUUUAAUAUGAAUAAUUUUUUCUCUAAUUAAAAAAAAGGUUUCUUAAUGCAUUUUCUUUGCUUAAACUCCACUGCGUCUUGCUGUAUCCAAUCCUACAUCUUUGUCUUUCUUCACAAGUGUAUAU